GUGGGGAAUCUUAGACAAUGGGGGAAACCCUGAUCUAGCCAUGCCGCGUGAGCGAUGAAGGCCUUAGGGUUGUAAAGCUCUUUCAGCUGGGAAGAUAAUGACGGUACCAGCAGAAGAAGCCCCGGCUAACUCCGUGCCAGCAGCCGCGGUAAUACGGAGGGGGCUAGCGUUGUUCGGAAUUACUGGGCGUAAAGCGCGCGUAGGCGGACCAGAAAGUUGGAGGUGAAAUCCCAGGGCUCAACCUUGGAACUGCCUUCAAAACUCCUGGUCUGGAGUUCGAGAGAGGUGAGUGGAAUUCCGAGUGUAGAGGUGAAAUUCGUAGAUAUUCGGAGGAACACCAGUGGCGAAGGCGGCUUACUGGUCCAUUACUGACGCUGAGGUGCGAAAGCGUGGGGAGCAAACAGGAUUAGAUACCCCAGUAGUCC
rnacentral:rRNA from 1 species